rnacentral:rRNA from 2 species
ACUUAAAUUGAAGAGUUUGAUCAUGGCUCAGAUUGAACGCUGGCGGCAGGCCUAACACAUGCAAGUCGAACGGUAGCACAGAGAGCUUGCUCUCGGGUGACGAGUGGCGGACGGGUGAGUAAUGUCUGGGAAACUGCCCGAUGGAGGGGGAUAACUACUGGAAACGGUAGCUAAUACCGCAUAACGUCGCAAGACCAAAGUGGGGGACCUUCGGGCCUCACACCAUCGGAUGUGCCCAGAUGGGAUUAGCUAGUAGGUGGGGUAACGGCUCACCUAGGCGACGAUCCCUAGCUGGUCUGAGAGGAUGACCAGCCACACUGGAACUGAGACACGGUCCAGACUCCUACGGGAGGCAGCAGUGGGGAAUAUUGCACAAUGGGCGCAAGCCUGAUGCAGCCAUGCCGCGUGUAUGAAGAAGGCCUUCGGGUUGUAAAGUACUUUCAGCGAGGAGGAAGGCGUUGUGGUUAAUAACCACAGCGAUUGACGUUACUCGCAGAAGAAGCACCGGCUAACUCCGUGCCAGCAGCCGCGGUAAUACGGAGGGUGCAAGCGUUAAUCGGAAUUACUGGGCGUAAAGCGCACGCAGGCGGUUUGUUAAGUCAGAUGUGAAAUCCCCGGGCUCAACCUGGGAACUGCAUUUGAAACUGGCAAGCUUGAGUCUCGUAGAGGGGGGUAGAAUUCCAGGUGUAGCGGUGAAAUGCGUAGAGAUCUGGAGGAAUACCGGUGGCGAAGGCGGCCCCCUGGACAAAGACUGACGCUCAGGUGCGAAAGCGUGGGGAGCAAACAGGAUUAGAUACCCUGGUAGUCCACGCCGUAAACGAUGUCUACUUGGAGGUUGUGCCCUUGAGGCGUGGCUUCCGGAGCUAACGCGUUAAGUAGACCGCCUGGGGAGUACGGCCGCAAGGUUAAAACUCAAAUGAAUUGACGGGGGCCCGCACAAGCGGUGGAGCAUGUGGUUUAAUUCGAUGCAACGCGAAGAACCUUACCUGGUCUUGACAUCCACGGAAGUUUUCAGAGAUGAGAAUGUGCCUUCGGGAACCGUGAGACAGGUGCUGCAUGGCUGUCGUCAGCUCGUGUUGUGAAAUGUUGGGUUAAGUCCCGCAACGAGCGCAACCCUUAUCCUUUGUUGCCAGCGGUUAGGCCGGGAACUCAAAGGAGACUGCCAGUGAUAAACUGGAGGAAGGUGGGGAUGACGUCAAGUCAUCAUGGCCCUUACGACCAGGGCUACACACGUGCUACAAUGGCGCAUACAAAGAGAAGCGACCUCGCGAGAGCAAGCGGACCUCAUAAAGUGCGUCGUAGUCCGGAUUGGAGUCUGCAACUCGACUCCAUGAAGUCGGAAUCGCUAGUAAUCGUGGAUCAGAAUGCCACGGUGAAUACGUUCCCGGGCCUUGUACACACCGCCCGUCACACCAUGGGAGUGGGUUGCAAAAGAAGUAGGUAGCUUAACCUUCGGGAGGGCGCUUACCACUUUGUGAUUCAUGACUGGGGUGAAGUCGUAACAAGGUAACCGUAGGGGAACCUGCGGUUGGAUCACCUCCUUACCUUAAAGAAGC